GUAAUAUACUGAGUUUCCAUGUAAUAAGGCUCUUUAGAGAAGGCAUUAACCAAUGUUCUGGCUUCCAGCUCCAACGAAUCCAUGAUUAAUUCUUGCUUGGAAAUAUCUAAGUUUAUAGAACUCAGAACUCUCUGUAGGAAUGGAAUAGCAAGGGAAAUGAAUUGGAUUGAAUUCAGAGAAGCUUCCAGUAGAAGAUCUAUGUGUCACCAUAGCACUGUUAUCUUCAAGAAUAAGGCAAAGGAUUCCUGCCUUCUUUUGCCACAGGAUCUCUUAACUCAGCCCAAAAGAUUUAUCAUUCCUAGACUCCAGUGAGGAUCCAUUGAUGCUUCACUAAAGAG
rnacentral:lncRNA from 1 species